GAGAGUGUUGCAGCGCUAACCUAACCCGUCCCUGCUAUUAGACUGCUGUAAAGCGUACAAGCUACACUGGGUUUUCAUGAAGAUAUUAGAGUUAAAGAACUCAGGUUACUUAAUAUUUACUACUUUUAAAUUUUAUCUGACAAUCUAUUUCUUAAAAAAAGGGCACAAAAACAACCAGACACCAACGGUGAAACUGCAGGAGGAGAAAUGUAGGGAUGGAAAAUGAGAGUGAAUGCAGCUGGGAACGCUGCAGUGGGAGAAACGGUGGAGACAGGUGAUGAGUUUGGAGAAACGGCUCAGAGUUCUGCACAGAACAGAAUACCUGAAAGCUUAACACCGCUUGAAACACCUCAUCCCGAAGGUACAGCAGCACUUCAAAAUAAAAGCAGGAAGACAAAGAUGAAGGGGGCCGAGGGAGAAUCCUGGGGAGUGGACAUCUGCUAAAGCUUCAGGAAACUCAAUCACCCUAUAGCUGGAUCUGGAAGUCGUGCCUUCAUUGGGCCCACAUGCACGAUCACACACAAAGCCAUUAGGACAACACAGAUGCGUGAAGGACGGCUCGUCUGACUUCCAUGUGCAAGCGAGCGCCCCGUCGCACUCACGCAUGCCCAUCACUUAAUCUGGACUCGUCUCCCUCGGCCUGAACAUCCAUCACCUCCGGCUCCGAACUUCUAAUAAACAUGCAAACGCCCCCCGUUGCGCAGGCACACCCACAUUAUGGCUCGCGGCCUCACACACAUGCGUCUCCUCCAGGCUAAAUCUGGCCCAGGCUCCGUGCGCUGCCGUUCAUCACUCUGUCUACGCGCACACCUGCGCCCGUAGCCACCGAGCAGCACGCAGGACAGCAUCCGCUGGGUUUUUAGCACACAAUCAUCUAUUUGUAUUGAGUCGAGUCUGGCACGAAUCCUUACGCAGUAAUAACAAGUCGCCGUCCAAGUGAGGCUAAGAAAAUUCCACCCGAUCAGUCUGGAGCCUGAAUGGCAGAACAUCAGACGUGCCUUAAUUUUGUUUUUGAAACCGUGAUCAUUUGGAGGAGAUGCUGACAUUUGCUGUUAAGCCACAUGUGAAGCUGUUUUCUGGUGCACGUUUCAUCCCCUUCACUUUCACAGUCACACUCAGUCUUGUGGCUUCAUGAAAUUAAUAGGUAAAUGUUUCCUGUUUCCCACAGUGAACAAGCUACAUGCAAAUGCUGAGAUUCUUGCAUUUUGACCUUUUUGGGUUGUGUGGUAUGAAAUGUCAGCAUGGACGGUAAGAAAACUGCACUGUUGUAUCCAUAAUACAUACAGUUAUGUAUUAUGGAUACAACUACUGUAAGUUUAAUGUCCUCUGUUUAAGUAUUUAUAUACAGUAGUUCUCCACAUUUACUUUUACUUCUGUUGCCAUUUCUUUUGUAGGGUCUUCAGUAGUUUUACUUAUUUUUUAAUUUGACUUCAUACCAAGUUGCUCUCACUGUGUCAGCUUCACUGCCGCUGCUGCACGUGAUGCUGUUUCGACGAUAGAUAGUGAUUUUUUCAGGAUAAUACAGUUACCUGCACUUAUGGCGGUAUCGUAAAGUGUAUCAUUGCAAAUUGCCAGGGAAAUCAGAGGAGAACACAUAAAUAUUAACCUCACCUUGUCAGUCCCAUUCCCUUGCAGCUGUGGAGGUUCUGGAGCCACCGAGGACUCCUCUGCUGUUAAUUAAACUGUCUGUCUUAGAGAGAAUUAAGGUCAUGAUCUCCCAGACCUCACCACUCCCUCACUCCCUGAGAAGAAAGGAGAGAACAGAGGAGACUUAAUGAAGGAAUAAAAGGAUGAAAUGACUUAAUGAACAGCCUAACGAGGCCUGUGGCCGUUUAAUAAGGGCUUAUUAAAGCUUAAUUAGAGCAAUAA